CAGCAGCCACGGUAAUACGAAGGGUGCAAGCGUUAAUCGGAAUUACUGGGCGUAAAGCGUGCGUAGGCGGUGGGUUAAGUCUGCUGUGAAAUCCCCGGGCUCAACCUGGGAAUGGCAGUGGAUACUGGCUCGCUAGAGUGUGUCAGAGGAUGGUGGAAUUCCCGGUGUAGCGGUGAAAUGCGUAGAGAUCGGGAGGAACAUCAGUGGCGAAGGCGGCCAUCUGGGACAACACUGACGCUGAGGCACGAAAGCGUGGGGAGCAAACAGGAUUAGAUACCCCUGUAGUCCCUGUCUCUUAUAC
rnacentral:rRNA from 1 species